rnacentral:tRNA from 1 species
ACCUGCCUGGCUUAGUAGGUAGAGCAUGUGUCUUUUGAGCUUGGAGUCAUGAGAUCAAGCCCCAUGUUGGGUG